rnacentral:sRNA from 1 species
CCCUAGCCCUGAUAGAAGCGACAUCCUUUUGUGGCGGGGUUCGCCACAAAAGAUAUAGUGGAUAGCAGGAACAGCU